rnacentral:sRNA from 1 species
AGGUCUAUCGAAGAAGAUGAGGAUGUUGAAGAAGAGAGAAGACUUUGCUAUGUUGCUGUGACAAGAGCGGAAGAGGAGCUUUAUAUAAGUUCAGCUGAAAC